CUAAAGUCCUGCAGACGGUCAAUAAGCAGCACAACAUAGCGUGGGACACAGUGUGCCGCAGUUUCUUCGUCGACUUCUCAGUGGCGGCUGA
rnacentral:SRP_RNA from 1 species